GGUGAAGGGGCCAUUGAGUUUCAUGCACCGACCAGUUUGGCAUUUUAGCGGCCAGUUCGGCAAAUUAGCGUGGAGAGCAAUGAUUAGAGGAUCUUGUUGAGGUCUCAUUAGUACUUAACACAUGCAAAAAAGUAGAUUUUGAUGCUCUUCAAAGUGUAUUAGUGGCUCCCUUUAAUCUCCCUCCAAGUAGAUUAGAAUGGAAGCCAAGGCCCCAAGAGAGGUUGGCCUCUAGCUCUAGGCUUAAUCGGUGAGGUAGAGAUGAUGUUAAUGCCUUACUCUUAAUGGAGUACUUGCACUUGAGAUUAGUAUGUGGAAGCUCCCAUUUACUGCCACUAGCAGGUGCCAUCCUUCCUUUCUGCCAACAGUGUCCUCUGUACUCCUAUUGUACCAGGCUGAUGAAUUCAUGGAGCACCUUUUCUCUUUA
rnacentral:lncRNA from 1 species